rnacentral:rRNA from 1 species
GAUGAACGCUGGCGGCGUGCCUAAUACAUGCAAGUCGAGCGAACAGACGAGGAGCUUGCUCCUCUGACGUUAGCGGCGGACGGGUGAGUAACACGUGGAUAACCUACCUAUAAGACUGGGAUAACUUCGGGAAACCGGAGCUAAUACCGGAUAAUAUAUUGAACCGCAUGGUUCAAUAGUGAAAGACGGUUUUGCUGUCACUUAUAGAUGGAUCCGCGCCGCAUUAGCUAGUUGGUAAGGUAACGGCUUACCAAGGCGACGAUGCGUAGCCGACCUGAGAGGGUGUUCGGCCACCCUGGAACUGAGACACGGUCCAGACUCCUACGGGAGGCAGCAGUAGGGAAUCUUCCGCAAUGGGCGAAAGCCUGACGGAGCAACGCCGCGUGAGUGAUGAAGGUCUUCGGAUCGUAAAACUCUGUUAUUAGGGAAGAACAAAUGUGUAAGUAACUAUGCACGUCUUGACGGUACCUAAUCAGAAAGCCACGGCUAACUACGUG